UACGUAGGUGGCAAGCGUUGUCCGGAUUUACUGGGCGUAAAGCGCACGCAGGUGGCCUGUCAAGUCCAGGGUGAAAUCUCCCGGCUCAACCGGGAGCGGUCUCUGGAUACUGGCAGGCUUGAGGGCAGCAGAGGAGAGCAGAAUUCCCGGUGUAGCGGUGAUAUGCGUAGAUAUCGGGAGGAAUACCAGUGGUGAAGGCGGCUCUCUGGGCUGUCCCUGACGCUGAGGUGCGAAAGCGUGGGGAGCAAACCGGAUUAGAACC
rnacentral:rRNA from 1 species